ACUCAAAGGAAUUGACGGGGACCCGCACAAGCAGCGGAGCGUGUGGUUUAAUUCGAUGCGACGCGAAGAACCUUACCAGGGCUUGACAUGCUCUCGCACCGGCCAGAGAUGGUCGUGCCCGCAAGGGACGGGAGCACAGGUGCUGCAUGGCUGUCGUCAGCUCGUGCCGUGAGGUGUUGGGUUAAGUCCCCCAACGAGCGCAACCCCUAUCGUUGGUUGUAUUUUUCCAGCGAAACUGCCCGCAAGGGAGGAAGGAGGGGAUGACGUCAAGUCAGCACGGCCCUUACGUCCUGGGCUACACACACGCUACAAUGGCUGGUACAAUGGGCUGCGAAGCGGCAACGCGGAGCCAAUCCCAGCAAAGCCAGCCUCAGUUCAGAUUGGUGGCUGCAACCCGCCACCAUGAAGGUGGAGUUGCUAGUAACCGCAGGUCAGCACACUGCGGUGAAUACGUUCCCGGGUCUUGCACACACCGCCCGU
rnacentral:rRNA from 1 species